AUUGAACGCUGGCGGCAGGCUUAACACAUGCAAGUCGAGCGAGCGGCGGACGGGUGAGUAAUGUCUGGGAAACUGCGUGAUGGAGGGGGAUAACUACUGGAAACGGUAGCUAAUACCGCAUACCAUCAGAUGUGCCCAGAUGGGCUUGGCUAGUAGGUGGGGUAAUGGCUCACCUAGGCGACGAUCCCUAGCUGUUCUGAGAGGAGGACCAGCCACACUGGAACGGAGAACCGGUCCAGCCUCUUAGGGGAGGAAGCAGUGGGGAAUAUUGACAAAUGGGCGAAAGCUUGAUGAAGCCAUGCCGGUUGUGUGAAGAAGGCCUUCGGGUUGUAAAGCACUUUCAGCGAGGAGGCGUUACUCGCAGAAGAAGAACCGGCUAACCCCGUGCCAGCAGCCGCGUAAUAC
rnacentral:rRNA from 1 species